rnacentral:misc_RNA from 1 species
UAAUAAAAGUGUUUAUGGCACUUUUAAAACAAUCCAUAUCCACCUUGUGUGCAAUGUUUUUCUUACAUAUCAACACUUUAUUUUUAUUCUUUUGUCUGAAAUAUUUUACGAAUUUACUUAAUUCAAAAAAUA